rnacentral:rRNA from 1 species
GAUGAACGCUGGCGGCGUGCUUAACACAUGCAAGUCGAACGAUGAAGCCCAGCUUGCUGGGUGGAUUAGUGGCGAACGGGUGAGUAACACGUGAGUAACCUGCCCUUAACUCUGGGAUAAGCCUGGGAAACUGGGUCUAAUACCGGAUAGGAGCGUCCACCGCAUGGUGGGUGUUGGAAAGAUUUAUCGGUUUUGGAUGGACUCGCGGCCUAUCAGCUUGUUGGUGAGGUAAUGGCUCACCAAGGCGACGACGGGUAGCCGGCCUGAGAGGGUGACCAGCCACGAGGGAACUGAGGCAGAGUCCAGAAUCCUACGGGAGGCAGGCGUAGGGAAUAUUGGUCGAUGGGGGAAACCCUGAAGAAGGAACGCGGCGGGGAGGAUGACAAUGUUCGGAGGGGAAACGCCUGUUGUUGAGAAAGAAGUAUGACGGUACCGAAGGAAUAAGCACCGGCUAACUCCGUG